AGUGAACGCUGGCGGUAGGCCUAACACAUGCAAGUCGAACGGCAGCACAGGAGAGCUUGCUCUCUGGGUGGCGAGUGGCGGACGGGUGAGGAAUACAUCGGAAUCUACCUUUUCGUGGGGGAUAACGUAGGGAAACUUACGCUAAUACCGCAUACGACCUUCGGGUGAAAGUGGGGGACCGCAAGGCCUCACGCGAAUAG
rnacentral:rRNA from 1 species